GAUGAACGCUGGCGGCGUGCCUAAUACAUGCAAGUCGAGCGAACGGACGAGAAGCUUGCUUCUCUGAUGUUAGCGGCGGACGGGUAAGUAACACGUGGAUAACCUACCUAUAAGACUGGGAUAACUUCGGGAAACCGGAGCUAAUACCGGAUAAUAUUUUGAACCGCAUGGUUCAAAAGUGAAAGACGGUCUUGCUGUCACUUAUAGAUGGAUCCGCGCUGCAUUAGCUAGUUGGUAAGGUAACGGCCUACCAAGGCAACGAUGCAUAGCCGACCUGAGAGGGUGAUCGGCCACACUGGAACUGAGACACGGUCCAGACUCCUACGGGAGGCAGCAGUAGGGAAUCUUCCGCAAUGGGCGAAAGCCUGACGGAGCAACGCCGCGUGAGUGAUGAAGGUCUUCGGAUCGUAAAACUCUGUUAUUAGGGAAGAACAUAUGUGUAAGUAACUGUGCACAUCUUGACGGUACCUAAUCAGAAAGCCACGGCUAACUACGUG
rnacentral:rRNA from 1 species